rnacentral:lncRNA from 1 species
CCUCGGUAGUGAAACGUCUUAUUUUUAUUGAGAACAUUUCAAGUCCUUUGUCUAGGUGUGACAGCGUCUCAUGCUCAGCUCCAGCUGGCCUCGGCGUGAGGAAGCUCAUGCAGGCUGUAACGUGUGGUAUAUACAUAAAUAUACAUAUGGAGAACACUGACGAUUGUAUCUUAGCAACAAGUUUCUUGGCUGAAUUACAUUCAUAUAAAGGGUCCAAAUUCUAAAAUCAAAUUAAAAGCAUAUAACCCAAGGCCGGAGAGCAAACAUCUCAGGGGCUUCCUCAUUAACAUUCCACAGACUGUGCUUUUCACCCCUGUGCUCCCCUUAGGAGGAGGACCCCAGUUCCUUCCGCACCACCCCUCGCUGGUAACGAGGAACAGCAGGGUGCUGCCCACACAGGAGGCGGCUUCUGCACAAGCUGCAAACACACGUACGCCCUCACAACCAUCACGAUCACUGCAGGCCCCGCGGGACAGGGUUUCCCUGCUCCCAUUCCAAGCCUCCAGGGAACACAGGACUCUGCGGUUGACAGUGGAGCAGCCCAACCACCUCCUUGCACUCAGGGAGGUCGAUUGUCACAGGACACAUCAGAGGACAAGGACACCGGAACAGCACGCACCGGACACAAGUCCUCUGUCCUUUCCACAGAUAUAACUUGGGGGUGAUAUAAAGGAGGUACCUUAAUUUCACAGAAUUUAGAGAUGGGGGAGCCAGCUAAUUUUUUCUGUUGUUGGAUCAAAACUGAGUGGGUAGAGCUGGCCCUUCUGAUAUAAAGUAUCUCAGAGGCACAGUCACCUAUGCUGUAUUCAUCUGCUCAGAAACCAGGGUGAUGUGCAGCUCUGCCCGGGGGUGCACACCCUCCUCACCUGUCACCUGUGAGGACGCAGCCGCCCGCCUCGCUGCAGGAGGAACUUGGGCUUAGGAGAAAGUGGUGACUAAUUCCAGAGAAGUCAGAGCCUUAUGAGACCCUGGCUUGCACAUUUAAAAACCAUUCCUUUUAAUCACACAGCAAGUUCUCAAACAGGAAAGGUUAACAGAUGAAGACUCAGAAUAAAAUCUGCAGCUUUGGGCAGGCCAGUGCAGGUGGUCAUGGUGGCUGGAGGUGGCGACAUCCAUCAGGCCGCCAGCUGUCCCUGGACCCCGACCCCUACCCCACUGGGAGAGCCCCGGGUCCACACAGAACAUGCUGCCCUGAGCUCCUCCCAACACUGACUCCCCACCGAGCAAAACUGUUCCUGAGCCACCCUGAGGGACUUCCAGGGUCUCCACGGAAGUCACACCUCGGGGUUUGCUGACCGCCCUCAAGAUGUCCUCAACACUUAAGGGUUUUUUUUUCUUCAAAAUGUCAAGUCCCUGGCUGCAUCUGGUUUUCUAUGAAGUCUCUUAAGUGCAGAUCCAGGACAUGGGAUGCAGCUGAGCAAUGACAAUGUGAUCUGUGACAGGUGAUGCACAGCAAGUCCUGACUGCUGUCACUGAGGUGGCCCUGCUUUUCUCUGACUGCAGCUGAGCUCUCUGUGGUCCUGUCCUGGCAGCAGGGUGAGGACACUCUGUCCUGUGGUUGGUCCCCUUCCUCCCUCUCCCCAGAGACCAGGCUCAGGGAUCUCAGGCCCUGAGCUCGUAGGGGUGGGGAUCAGUUGUCCACCUUUUGGAUACAACUCAACAGAAGGAACAGCCAGACAUACAGGGUAGUUUUGUUUUUAUGUAUAUGGAACGUAUCUGCACUGGACUUUAUACCCCAAAUCCACAUAUUUCUUAAAAACUAAAUCCAUCUCCCAAUCCCCACUACAAAAAAUACAAUUUGUAGAGCCAGGAGUAAAAGUCUUUCUGGAGCACACUCAGGAGGACAGCAGCAGCCCCAGGCCUCUUCCAUGGGUGCAAAGGGAAGCCUGGUGCAUUUGAUCCAAAUGAGCUGCACGGUGUAUGGGGACUGCCACCCCAGCUACAGAGAAGGCUGGUGUGCAGGCAGCUUGCCCCAGAUGUGGACUUGUGUAGACAGGGCUCCCCGCCCUGAGGGACACACGUCCAACAGAGGUGGCACCACUCACCCUGCAGCCCAGGGAGAACC